CUCUCCUUGGUGUAGUUGGUUUAUCACGUUCGACUGUAAUUGUCAAAUUUUUAUCGAAAGGUCCCUAGUUCGAUUCUGGGAGGGGAGA
rnacentral:tRNA from 2 species